AUUGAACGCUGGCGGCAGGCCUAACACAUGCAAGUCGAGCGAGCGGCGGACGGGUGAGUAAUGUAUGGGAAUCUGCCUGAUGGCGGGGGAUAACUACUGGAAACGGUAGCUAAUACCGCAUACCAUCAGAUGAACCCAGAUGGGAUUAGCUAGUAGGUGGGGUAACGGCUUACCUAGGCGACGAUCCCUAGCUGGUCUGAGAGGAUGAUCAGCACAACGGGGACUGAGACACGGUCCAGACUCCUACGGGAGGCAGCAGUGGGGAAGAUUGCACAAUGGGCGCAAGCCUGAUGCAGCCAUGCCGCGGGUAUGAAGAAGGCCUUCGGGUUGUAAAGCACUUUCAGUCGGGAGGCGUUACCGACAGAAGAAGCACCGGCUAACUCCGUGCCAGCAGCCGCGGUAAUUC
rnacentral:rRNA from 1 species